GCAGCCAUGUCAAGUGAAAAAAAGAGCGACGUGAACUAAUUACGGCUGUUAUUUCGAGAUACAUUGGGUUAAAGUCAGCGGGGUUGUUUCUAAAUGACAGUCAGCCUUCUACUUGAUUUAGGCGCUGUUGAAGCUGGUCAGCAUUAUGUUUCUUUUAUGCGGAUAAUGACAUUGCUGGGACAGUUUGACAUCGAUGUCCUAAGAACGGAAUAAUAAACUGAACCUGCUUCGCCUUUUGUGUGACCCAGUAACGUUAGUUUGUUUCUGGAGAAAACGAGCCAAAUGAUGUCAGGAAAGCAUUACAAGGGUCAAGAAGUCAGCUGCUGCAUCAAAUAUUUCAUAUUUGGAUUUAACAUCAUAUUUUGGUUGCUUGGGGUGGCUUUCCUUGGAAUCGGAUUAUGGGCAUGGAGUGAGAAGGGAGUUCUGUCUAACAUCUCCUCCAUCACGGAUCUGGGUGGAUUUGAUCCAGUGUGGUUGUUUCUGGUGGUUGGGGGGGUGAUGUUCAUCCUGGGUUUCGCUGGCUGUAUCGGGGCCCUGAGGGAAAACACCUUACUGCUCAAAUUUUUUUCUGUGUUUCUGGGGAUAAUCUUCUUCCUGGAGCUGACCGCCGGUGUCCUGGCCUUUGUCUUUAAAGACUGGAUUAAAGAUCAGCUCAACUUUUUCAUCAACAACAACAUACGAGCCUACAGAGAUGACAUAGACUUGCAGAACCUCAUCGACUUCACUCAGGAAUAUUGGGAAUGCUGUGGGGCGUUUGGAGCAGAUGACUGGAACCUCAACAUCUACUUCAACUGCACAGACAGCAACCCCAGCCGAGAAAAAUGUGGCGUGCCCUUCUCCUGUUGCACCAAAGACCCAGCGGAGGAUGUUAUCAACACACAGUGUGGAUAUGAUGUUCGGGCAAAAUCGGACGCAGAGCAGAAGACAUACAUUCAUGUCAAAGGCUGUGUGCCGCAGUUUGAGAAAUGGCUACAGGACAACCUGACGGUAGUGGCUGGGAUCUUCAUCGGCGUCGCUCUGCUGCAGAUAUUUGGAAUAUGCCUUGCACAAAAUUUAAUCAGCGAUAUUGAAGCUGUGAGAGCCAGCUGGGUGCCGCCCCCCUCUUACAUCGCCCGCCGCCCCCCGUCCCACUACAGCAAGAAAGCCUCGGUGUACUCCUGAGGGAGGUUGUCCUGUUUGUUCACAUGAAGUGGCAGCUAGUCGUUCAGACACUCACAGGCCUAUGCCAGCAUGAUGAAGGUAGCAAAUGAUGAACACAAGAUGCCAAGUGCACUGGAUUGUGUGUGUGCACAGUAACCUUUUACCAUCUAUAAAUAGUGCUACUUUUUCUAGUGUUUUAUGUGUCAAAACACAUGUGUAAUGUGAAAAAAUGUUUGUGUCCACAGAGGUUGCGUUAACCUAAAUAUUUCCACCAUUUGCCGGACUGCAAAAGCAUUACAAAAAGCAUCAUUCAAAACGCUUUCCGUCACUUUGACAAAAAAAUAAAUAAUAGGCAAACGCAUAUCUGAAAUGUUUUCAUGUAAAAUUAAUCAGGUGUGUCUCAAUCGGCUCACUAGUCAGGACACUGUCCAGGGCACUGAACAUUUGCGCACUAAAAAUUCCCACAAUGCACUGUGUACUAAUGUUAAAUAUCACAUAAACAUUUUAAUAACAACAAAUGAGAUUAUUUUGGCAUAAUGAUUUUAUUUUAUUAAGCUACACUCUAAAUUAAACUUUAAUGCAUUAGUAACUAACAUGAUAAUAACAUCCAUACAAAGUGACAAAUGAAUGUGAUUUAGCUACUUCAGGUGUCUGUAAUGCAGUAAUGCAACACAUAUGUUCUUCCACUCUGAGAACUGAUAAAUAGAACCUACCGGUUUCAUCGGACUAAAUUAUUGGUCAAAAGACACCAUGAUAAUAACAACAGGCCAUAUGUAUUAGCUGGUUACUUCUUAA